GACGAACGCUGGCGGCGUGCCUAAUACAUGCAAGUCGAACGCACUCUCGUUUAGAUUGAAGGAGCUUGCUCCUGAUUGAUAAACAUUUGAGUGAGUGGCGGACGGGUGAGUAACACGUGGGUAACCUGCCCUAAAGUGGGGGAUAACAUUUGGAAACAGAUGCUAAUACCGCAUAAAACCUAACACCGCAUGGUGUAGGGUUGAAAGAUGGUUUCGGCUAUCACUUUAGGAUGGACCCGCGGUGCAUUAGUUAGUUGGUGAGGUAAAGGCUCACCAAGACCGUGAUGCAUAGCCGACCUGAGAGGGUAAUCGGCCACACUGGGGUCCUGAGACACGGCCCAGACUCCUACGGGAGGCAGCAGUAGGGAAUCUUCCACAAUGGACGAAAGUCUGAUGGAGC
rnacentral:rRNA from 1 species